ensembl:lncRNA
GGAACUCCAGAUUCUCGUUCCCACGUGGAUCAUGAGACCCGAAGUAACUUUCAGGCUUUCAGAAUCUUUCCUGCUUGUGAUUAGCUUUAACUGCAGGAGCUUGUGCUUUGGGAGACACGGAAAACGUCACUGAGUUUGACUAGAAAGAGCCAAGGAGCGCGUGGACAGCAGGUGCCGAGAGGGCAGAAGAGGGCAGAUGUAGUUUGGAUUCUCCAGGCAAGAACACUGGAGUGGGUUGCCAUUUCCUUCUCCAACGCAUGAAAGUGAAAAGUGAAAGUGAAGUCGCUCAGUCGUGUCCGACUCUUAGCGACCCCAUGGACUGCAACCUACCAGGCUCCUCCAUCCAUGGGAUUUUCCAGGCAAGAGUACUGGAGUGGGGUGCCAUUGCCUUCUCCAACGGUUUCUCUACAGUCUAUAUACUUGAAGAUCAACUUGGCUGGAUACAAAAUCUGUGGUUCACAUUUUCUGUCUUUGUCUCAGAUAUGUUACUCCAUUGCUUUCUAUAAACAGUGUUAAAUAACAACAACAACAAA